rnacentral:lncRNA from 10 species
GAGCUUGACAUGGCAGCCAGCCCACACCCCAGCUUGCACGGGAUUAGCACAUGACCUUGAGACGGGGUGUGGGGUUGGAGGGCAGCGGAUCCCUCAGGCCCUUGCAAUUGGGAGGACUCUGGAAUUCCAUCACCAGGGAAGGCCUUGAGGAUAUGGCAGGAUCCAGGCAGGCCAAAGAAGAGGUGGUGGGACAGGUGAAGGGCGCAGACAGCAUGCAUAAAGGCUCCAUUCCAGCUCCUGGGGAACGCGCUUCAGGGAGUGUCUUGGGAGAAGAGCACGUGUGAGCACCAGGUCCAGAGCACGUGCCUUGCAACACGUGUUGAGCGGCUCUAGGGAGAAGAGAGGGCCCUGCUGACGCUCCCUCAAUCCCUGUCCCACCACUCCAGCGCCUUCCAGGACCCUCGAGGGACCUGCACGUUCCCAAGAGGCAAAUUCCUGGGGUUGGGAGGCUGCCUACAGGGGUCCUACCUUCUGGGCCAACCCCCAGGCCUUGUGGCCUCACUCUGCAGCCACCUCCCGGCCUCCACCUGGGACCCCCUUCCUCAGCUCAGAGCCCCCCAGCCCUCAGCCCACCGGUUUUCCCACAGGCGGCACCAAGCCCAGCAGGGGGGUUCAGGUUUUAACAUCUUUCCCCUCUUGCCCUGGACAUGAAGCAGCCUUGCUCAGGAACCAAGAAUGCUAAUGAGGGUCAGUACCAGAGAGGGUGACUGUUCCCAAUCCUGUCUCCCCUGCCCCAGCAGCCAACAGAAGGCAGGAAACCCAGCAGAGGAGGAAGCUGAUGCUGCCCCAACCAAAGCCAUGGGGGCCACGAUGGGGUGUCUGCCCCUGGAAACCCCAUGUUCACCUGCUGAGCCAUGUGGACCCCACCAGCCUCCUUUCACACACUCGCCUCCGCCUCGGGUCUCCUCCCCACUCUCUCAGGAGGCCCAGCGUCCGGGACUGCCACAUGCUGACAAUGUCCAGAAACCUCCCAGGACCGUAAACUGGGAAGAACAUGGGCCUCCCUCCCAGAACAGCUCGUGAUGGUCGGGGCGGGGAGCAACAGGGUCCCCCCGUGGUGGGGGCCCUCUGAGGGACGGGCAGAGAGGGGUGUUGGAGCCACAGAGGACACGAUGAACAAGCCACAGCUCAACGGUACAGUGUGCGAUUCCACUUGGAUAAAGGUCAGAGAAGGAAGAGCCAGCGCCAUGUUGGAGGGAAGCCAGCCAUGUGGGAGAAGAAAGCAGGCCCAGUCACCGCGGCCACUGUGCCCACGGCAAGGCGGGGCCGCCUCUGCAGGACUGGGCAUGUCAAUCAGGGACUAGGUCUUCUGGGGAGCUGAUAGCCUCCUAAUUCUUGACCUUAGAGUGUUUGCUUUGUUAUUCAUUAUGCUGUGUAUUCAAAUUUUAUUCACUUCACAUCACAAUU